GAUGAAGAACGCAGCGAACGUGCGAAACGUAAUGUGAAUUGCAGAAUUCAGUGAAUCAUCGAAUCUUUGAACGCACAUUGCGCCCGUCAGUAUUCUGGCGGGCAUGCCUGUUCGAGCGUCAUUACGCCCCUCAAGUCCCCUGUGGACUUGGUGUUGGGGAUCGGCGAGGCUGGUUUUCCAGCACAGCCGUCCCUUAAAUUAAUUGGCGGUCUCGCCGUGGCCCUCCUCUGCGCAGUAGUAAAACACUCGCAACAGGAGCCCGGCGCGGUCCACUGCCGUAAAACCCCCCAACUUUUUAUAGUUGACCUCGAAUCAGGUAGGACUACCCGCUGAACUUAAGCAUAUCAAUAAGCGGAGGA
rnacentral:misc_RNA from 1 species